GGACGAACGCKGGCGGCGUGCCUAAWACAUGCAAGUCGAGCGGACCGACGGGAGCUUGCUCCCUUAGGUCAGCGGCGGACGGGUGAGUAACACGUGGGUAACCUGCCUGUAAGACUGGGAUAACUCCGGGAAACCGGGGCUAAUACCGGAUGCUUGAUUGAACCGCAUGGUUCAAUCAUAAAAGGUGGCUUUYAGCUACCACUUACAGAUGGACCCGCGGCGCAUUAGCUAGUUGGUGAGGUAACGGCUCACCAAGGCGACGAUGCGUAGCCGACCUGAGAGGGUGAUCGGCCACACUGGGACUGAGACACGGCCCAGACUCCUACGGGAGGCAGCAGUAGGGAAUCUUCCGCAAUGGACGAAAGUCUGACGGAGCAACGCCGCGUGAGUGAUGAAGGUUUUCGGAUCGUAAAACUCUGUUGUUAGGGAAGAACAAGUACCGUUCGAAUAGGGCGGUMCCUUGACGGUACCUAACCAGAAAGCCACGGCUAACUMCGUGCC
rnacentral:rRNA from 1 species